GCAUAAUAAAUAGUUUUUUAAUUGGAAACUGGAAUGAAGGGUUAAAACUAAAGAGAAAGUUUUAUCUAAUGAAUUUGAAAUUAAAUUAAAAGUAAAAAUGCUUUUAUAAAGCUUUGGGACGAGAAGACCCUAGAAGCUUAAAAUUUAUUUAAAAUUUUUUAUUGGGGUAAUAUUUGAAGAUAAUAAUUUUUAAAAAUUUUAAAUUAUAUAAAUGAAGUUACUCUAGGGAUAACAGCAUUAUUUAAUUAACAAGUUCUUAUUAAUAAUUAAGUUUGUGACCUCGAUGUUGAAUUAAAUUUUAUCUUUGGUGAAGGAGCUUAAGAAGGUAGUCUGUUCGACUAUUAAAAACUUACAUGAUUU
rnacentral:rRNA from 1 species